rnacentral:lncRNA from 1 species
CCUGCCACAAUAAAUGAGACUAAGGAAAAGUAUGGAUUGUAAAUCAGAAUUGCUUUAAUAACAAGUCACCAUUUUUGGAGUGUGCAUUCUACUACGCAAGCUCUUUGAGAAGUGUAAAACUAAGAAGCUAAGUCAAAUCAUUAACAGUUGUGACUGAAUCAAAUUCUACCCUUGCCAACUUACUCCAGAGUCCAAACAUGAGAUUGUUAUUGUCAUGUCCUCUAUUUUGCAAAAUAAAGUAUAAGCA